rnacentral:rRNA from 1 species
GGGUUGUGAGGUUAAGCGACUAAGCGUACACGGUGGAUGCCCUGGCAGUCAGAGGCGAUGAAGGACGUGCUAAUCUGCGAUAAGCGUCGGUAAGGUGAUAUGAACCGUUAUAACCGGCGAUUUCCGAAUGGGGAAACCCAGUGUGAUUCGUCACACUAUCAUUAACUGAAUCCAUAGGUUAAUGAGGCGAACCGGGGGAACUGAAACAUCUAAGUACCCCGAGGAAAAGAAAUCAACCGAGAUUCCCCCAGUAGCGGCGAGCGAACGGGGAGCAGCCCAGAGCCUGAAUCAGUGUGUGUGUUAGUGGAAGCGUCUGGAAAGGCGUGCGAUACAGGGUGACAGCCCCGUACACAAAAAUGCACAUGCUGUGAGCUCGAUGAGUAGGGCGGGACACGUGGUAUCCUGUCUGAAUAUGGGGGGACCAUCCUCCAAGGCUAAAUACUCCUGACUGACCGAUAGUGAACCAGUACCGUGAGGGAAAGGCGAAAAGAACCCCGGCGAGGGGAGUGAAAAAGAACCUGAAACCGUGUACGUACAAGCAGUGGGAGCACAGAGCAAUCUGUGUGACUGCGUACCUUUUGUAUAAUGGGUCAGCGACUUAUAUUCUGUAGCAAGGUUAACCGAAUAGGGGAGCCGAAGGGAAACCGAGUCUUAACUGGGCGUUAAGUUGCAGGGUAUAGACCCGAAACCCGGUGAUCUAGCCAUGGGCAGGUUGAAGGUUGGGUAACACUAACUGGAGGACCGAACCGACUAAUGUUGAAAAAUUAGCGGAUGACUUGUGGCUGGGGGUGAAAGGCCAAUCAAACCGGGAGAUAGCUGGUUCUCCCCGAAAGCUAUUUAGGUAGCGCCUCGUGAAUUCAUCUCCGGGGGUAGAGCACUGUUUCGGCAAGGGGGUCAUCCCGACUUACCAACCCGAUGCAAACUGCGAAUACCGGAGAAUGUUAUCACGGGAGACACACGGCGGGUGCUAACGUCCGUCGUGAAGAGGGAAACAACCCAGACCGCCAGCUAAGGUCCCAAAGUCAUGGUUAAGUGGGAAACGAUGUGGGAAGGCCCAGACAGCCAGGAUGUUGGCUUAGAAGCAGCCAUCAUUUAAAGAAAGCGUAAUAGCUCACUGGUCGAGUCGGCCUGCGCGGAAGAUGUAACGGGGCUAAACCAUGCACCGAAGCUGCGGCAGCGACGCUUAUGCGUUGUUGGGUAGGGGAGCGUUCUGUAAGCCUGCGAAGGUGUGCUGUGAGGCAUGCUGGAGGUAUCAGAAGUGCGAAUGCUGACAUAAGUAACGAUAAAGCGGGUGAAAAGCCCGCUCGCCGGAAGACCAAGGGUUCCUGUCCAACGUUAAUCGGGGCAGGGUGAGUCGACCCCUAAGGCGAGGCCGAAAGGCGUAGUCGAUGGGAAACAGGUUAAUAUUCCUGUACUUGGUGUUACUGCGAAGGGGGGACGGAGAAGGCUAUGUUGGCCGGGCGACGGUUGUCCCGGUUUAAGCGUGUAGGCUGGUUUUCCAGGCAAAUCCGGAAAAUCAAGGCUGAGGCGUGAUGACGAGGCACUACGGUGCUGAAGCAACAAAUGCCCUGCUUCCAGGAAAAGCCUCUAAGCAUCAGGUAACAUCAAAUCGUACCCCAAACCGACACAGGUGGUCAGGUAGAGAAUACCAAGGCGCUUGAGAGAACUCGGGUGAAGGAACUAGGCAAAAUGGUGCCGUAACUUCGGGAGAAGGCACGCUGAUAUGUAGGUGAAGCGACUUGCUCGUGGAGCUGAAAUCAGUCGAAGAUACCAGCUGGCUGCAACUGUUUAUUAAAAACACAGCACUGUGCAAACACGAAAGUGGACGUAUACGGUGUGACGCCUGCCCGGUGCCGGAAGGUUAAUUGAUGGGGUCAGCGCAAGCGAAGCUCUUGAUCGAAGCCCCGGUAAACGGCGGCCGUAACUAUAACGGUCCUAAGGUAGCGAAAUUCCUUGUCGGGUAAGUUCCGACCUGCACGAAUGGCGUAAUGAUGGCCAGGCUGUCUCCACCCGAGACUCAGUGAAAUUGAACUCGCUGUGAAGAUGCAGUGUACCCGCGGCAAGACGGAAAGACCCCGUGAACCUUUACUAUAGCUUGACACUGAACAUUGAGCCUUGAUGUGUAGGAUAGGUGGGAGGCUUUGAAGUGUGGACGCCAGUCUGCAUGGAGCCGACCUUGAAAUACCACCCUUUAAUGUUUGAUGUUCUAACGUUGACCCGUAAUCCGGGUUGCGGACAGUGUCUGGUGGGUAGUUUGACUGGGGCGGUCUCCUCCUAAAGAGUAACGGAGGAGCACGAAGGUUGGCUAAUCCUGGUCGGACAUCAGGAGGUUAGUGCAAUGGCAUAAGCCAGCUUGACUGCGAGCGUGACGGCGCGAGCAGGUGCGAAAGCAGGUCAUAGUGAUCCGGUGGUUCUGAAUGGAAGGGCCAUCGCUCAACGGAUAAAAGGUACUCCGGGGAUAACAGGCUGAUACCGCCCAAGAGUUCAUAUCGACGGCGGUGUUUGGCACCUCGAUGUCGGCUCAUCACAUCCUGGGGCUGAAGUAGGUCCCAAGGGUAUGGCUGUUCGCCAUUUAAAGUGGUACGCGAGCUGGGUUUAGAACGUCGUGAGACAGUUCGGUCCCUAUCUGCCGUGGGCGCUGGAGAACUGAGGGGGGCUGCUCCUAGUACGAGAGGACCGGAGUGGACGCAUCACUGGUGUUCGGGUUGUCAUGCCAAUGGCACUGCCCGGUAGCUAAAUGCGGAAGAGAUAAGUGCUGAAAGCAUCUAAGCACGAAACUUGCCCCGAGAUGAGUUCUCCCUGACUCCUUGAGAGUCCUGAAGGAACGUUGAAGACGACGACGUUGAUAGGCCGGGUGUGUAAGCGCAGCGAUGCGUUGAGCUAACCGGUACUAAUGAACCGUGAGGCUUAACCUUACAACGCCGAAGGUGUUU